GCCUCCGUGGCUCAGCGUGGUAGAGCGGCCGCCUUGUAAGCGGCAUGUCGCGGGUUCAAAUCCCGCCGGAGGCU
rnacentral:tRNA from 1 species